rnacentral:rRNA from 1 species
CCUACGGGAUGCUGCAGUGAGGAAUAUUGGUCAAUGGGCGCGAGCCUGAACCAGCCAAGUAGCGUGAAGGAUGACUGCCCUACGGGUUGUAAACUUCUUUUAUAUAGGAAUAAAGUGAGGCACGAGUGCCUUUUUGUAUGUACUUUAUGAAUAAUGAUCGGCUAACUCCGUGCCAGCAGCCGCGGUAAUACGGAGGAUACGAGCGUUAUCCGGAUUUAUUGGGAUUAAAGGGAGCGUAGAUGGGUUGUUAAGUCAGUUGUGAAAGUUUGCGGCUCAACCGUAAAAUUGCAAUUGAUACUGGCAGUCUUGAGUACAGUUGAGGUAGGCGGAAUUCGUGGUGUAGCAGUGAAAUGCUUAGAUAUCAAGAAGAACUCCGAUUGCGAAGGCAGCUUACUAAACUGCCACUGACAUUGAUGCUCGAAGGUGUGGGUAUCAAACAGGAUUAGAUACCCUUGUAGUC